UACGUAGGGCGCAAGCGUUGUCCGGAAUUAUUGGGCGUAAAGAGCUCGUAGGCGGUUUGUCGCGUUGUUCGUGAAAACUCACAGCUCAACUGUGGGCGUGCGGGCGAUACGGGCAGACUGGAGUACUGCAGGGGAGACUGGAAUUCCUGGUGUAGCGGUGGAAUGCGCAGAUAUCAGGAGGAACACCGGUGGCGAAGGCGGGUCUCUGGGCCGAUACUGACGCUGAGGAGCGAAAGUGUGGGGAGCGAACAGG
rnacentral:rRNA from 1 species